UUCAAAACUGAUUGAUUGAACUACACAUUAAAAUUGGAACGAAACAGAGAAGAUUAGCAUGGCUCCUGAACAAAGAUGACACGCAAAUUUGUGAAGUGUUCCAUAUUUUU